AAAUUGAAGAGUUUGAUCAUGGCUCAGAUUGAACGCUGGCGGCAGGCCUAACACAUGCAAGUCGAGCGGUAACAGGAAGAAGCUUGCUUCUUUGCUGACGAGCGGCGGACGGGUGAGUAAUGCUUGGGAACUUGCCUUU
rnacentral:rRNA from 1 species